AUGGACGCCGCCGCCAUGGAGUCCCUCAUCCUGGAGCUGCACGCGGUGGAGGCCUACAAGUUCGGCGCCUUCGUGCUCAAGUCCGGCAUCACCUCCCCGAUCUACCUCGACCUGCGCGUGCUCGUCUCCCACCCGCGCCUCCUCUCCCGCGUCACCGCCCUCCUCGGCUCCCUCCCGCCCACGCGCCCCUACGGCCUCCUCUGCGGCGUCCCCUACACGGCCCUCCCCUUCGCCCCCGUGCUCUCCGACCUCGUCACCAGCGGCGCCUCCGUGCUCGAGACCGUCGCGCCGCUCCACGCUAAGGGGCUCGUGGUCGCCGACGCCGUCGUCGUCGUCGACCGCGAGCAGGGCGGGAGGGAGAACCUCGCGGCGAACGGGGUCACGCUGCACUCCCUCAUGACGCUCACCGAGGUGCUCGCCGUGCUGGUUAGGCAUGGCAAGGUCACCCAGGAGAAGGCCGCCGAGGUGAAGCGCUUCCUCGACGCCAACAGGAAGGUCUUGGUGCCGGCGGAGCCCAAGGUGGUGUCGGCCAACACAGCGCUCGCUGAGAGGGCGAGGCUGGCCAAGAACCCGGUGGGGAGGAAGCUGCUCGAGGUCAUGGAGGCCAAGCAUAGCGACCUCUGCGUCGCUGCCGAUGUUAUAACAGCAAACGAACUUCUUGAGCUAGCCAACAAGAUAUACAAAUCUUACUAA
rnacentral:rRNA from 1 species